UUAUAGAUGCCUUAUGUUACGAAGUUUCCGUCUGUCACAUGUCCAUUGUCCUUGACCUCAUUUUCAUGGUUCAGUGACUACUUGAAAAAAAAGUUUUGAUUUUUUGUAAUGUUAAUUUCUCUCUUAUUAUGAGUAAUAGGAUAACUAUAUUUGGUAUGUGCGUACCUAUCAAGGUCCUCAUGCCCGUCAGACAGUUUUCACUUGACCUCGACCUCAUUUCAUGGAUCAGUGAACAAGGUUAAGUUUUCGUGGUCAAGUCCAUAUCUCAGAUACUAUAAGCAAUAGGUCUAGUAUAUUUGGUGUAUGGAAGGACUGUAAGGUGUACAUGUCCAACUGGCAGGUGUCAUCUGAUCUUGACCUCAUUUUCAUGGUUCAGUGGUUAUAGUUGAGUUUUUGUGUUUUGGUCUGUUUUUCUUAUACUGUAUGCAAUAGGUCUACUAUAUUUGGUGUAUGGAAGGAUUGUAAGGUGUACAUGUCUAGCUGGCAGGUGUCAUCUGACCUUGACCUCAUUUUCAUGGUUCAGUGGUUAUAGUGGAGUUUUUGUGUUUUGGUCUGUUUUUCUUAUACUGUAUGCAAUAGGUCUACUAUAUUUGUUGUAUGGAAGGAUUGUAAGGUGUACAUGUCUAGCUGGCAGGUGUCAUCUGACCUUGACCUCAUUUUCAUGGUUCAGUGGUUAUAGUUGAGUUUUUGUGUUUUGGUCUGUUUUUCUUAUACUGUAUGCAAUAGGUCUACUAUAUUUGGUGUAUGGAAGGAUUGUAAGGUGUACAUGUCUAGCUGUCAGGUGUCAUCUGACCUUGACCUCAUUUUCAUGGUUCAGUGGUUAUAGUUGAGUUUUUGUGUUUUGGUCUGUUUUUCUUAUACUGUAUGCAAUAGGUCAACAAUAUUUGGUGUAUGGAAUGAUUGUAAGGUGUACAUGUCUAGCUGGCAGGUGUCAUC